UAUUGGUCAAUGGGCGAGAGCCUGAACCAGCCAAGUCGCGUGAAGGAUGAAGGAUCUAUGGUUCGUAGACUUCUUUUAUAAGGGAAUAAAGUGCGCCGCGUGUGGUGUUUUGUAUGUACCUUAUGAAUAAGGAUCGGCUCACUCCGUUCCUGCAGCCGCCGUAAUACGGAGGAUCCGAGCGUUAUCGGGAUUUAUUGGGUUUAAAGGGUGCGCAGGCGGUCUGUUAAGUCAGCGGUCAAAGCCCGGGGCUCAACCCCGGCCCGCCGUUGAAACUGGCAGUCUCGAGUUGGAGAGAAGUAUGCGGAAUGCGCGGUGUAGCGGUGAAAUGCAUAGAUAUCGCGCAGAACUCCGAUUGCGAAGGCAGCAUGCCGGCUCCACACUGACGCUGAGGCACGAAAGCGUGGGUAUCGAACAGG
rnacentral:rRNA from 1 species